UGGCAAGGAGGGGAGAAGAUGAGGAGCUAUUCAGAAGGCAGACGCAACUGAAUUUGACAAAAAACUCACUAUGGUCGGUGAGAAGAAGGAGCCGAGAGUAAGUGCUCUCCUUGGGACAAAGGACACAGGAAGAGGAGCAGGUUGGGGAAAGCUAAAUCAAAGCUAAUAAUUCUGGAAUCAUAAUUGGGAGCUGAGUGCCAGCUUGAAGCUUGGGGAGCUCCCUCACCUUCUUGGCCAGCCCUGCUUCCAAGACUGAUGCUUCCUGGCCGUGAAUGAACCCAGCCCAGGCAUCUCCACCUUGCCCUUCGGCUCCUUGCUUCAGAGGACAUUUCCUGAGCAUCUUCUCUCUGUGAGCCAAGAUCUCCAGCAUUUAGGUUCUAAAUUUGCAGUGGUUGGCAUUAAACUAUGAUGUCAGUACCUCCAAAGCCUGAGCACAUAAUAGGUGCUCCAUAAACCUUUUUUUUUUUUUUUUGAUGUUGCUAAACAAAUAGUGGAGCAGAUCAUUGGUUGGUUGUCUAUCUAAUAGCCAUUCUUCCUGCUUCAGGAAUAAAACCUGAUUGAAACAACCAA